rnacentral:rRNA from 1 species
GUAAGGAAUAUUGGUCAAUGGACGCAAGUCUGAACCAGCUAUGCCGCGUGAAGGAUUAAGGUCCUCUGGAUUGUAAACUUCUUUUAUAUGGGACGAAAACAGAUCUUUCUAGAUCCUUUGACGGUACCAUAUGAAUAAGCACCGGCUAACUCCGUGCCAGCAGCCGCGGUAAUACGGAGGGUGCAAGCGUUAUCCGGAUUCACUGGGUUUAAAGGGUGCGUAGGCGGGCAGGUAAGUCAGUGGUGAAAUCCUGGAGCUCAACUCCAGAACUGCCAUUGAUACUAUCUGUCUUGAAUAUUGUGGAGGUAAGCGGAAUAUGUCAUGUAGCGGUGAAAUGCUUAGAUAUGACAUAGAACACCCAUUGCGAAGGCAGCUUACUACGCAUAUAUUGACGCUGAGGCACGAAAGCGUGGGGAUCAAACAGGAUUAGAUACCC